UUUUUUGAGAAUUUGAUCCUGGUUCAGGAUGAACGCUAGCGGUGCGCCUUAAGCAUGCAAAUCGAGCGGUCCCGACCUUGUGUCGGGACAGCGGUGGACGGGUGAGUAACACGUAGGAAUCUACCCUUUGGUGGGGAAUAACCCUCCGAAAGGAGGGGUAAUACCGCAUAACUCUGCAAAGAAAAAGGGCUUAACUGCCCGCCGAAGGAUGAGCCUGCGCCCUAUCAGCUUGUUGGUGAGGUAAUGGCUUACCAAGGCUUUGACGGGUAGCUGGACUGAGAGGUUGGUCAGCCACAAUGCUACUGAGAUACGGAGCAUACAUCUACGGAUGGCAGCAACUGGGAAUCAUGCGCAAUGGGCGAAAGCCUGACGCUGCGACACCGCGUGGAGGAUGAAGGUUUUCGGAUCGUAAACUCCUUUUUUCUAACUAUCGUGGUUAGAAGAAUAAACACCUGCAAACUACGUGCCAGAAGCCUCGGUAAUACGUAGGGUGUAAGCGUUAUCCGGAUUUAUUGGGCGUAAAGAGUUUCGUAGGCGUUUGAUUAAGUUUUUGGUUAAAGCCCAAAGCUUAACUUUGGAAAAGCCAAAAAAACUAAUUAAAUAGAGAGUCUUAGGGGAUGCUGGAACACUCAGUGUAGGGGUGAAAUCCGUUGAUAUUGAGUGGAAUACCAAGGGCGAAGGCGAGCAUCUGGGGGACUUCUGACGCUGAUGAACGAAAGCUAGGGGAGCAAAGCAGAUUAGAGACCUGCGUAGUCCUAGCCGUAAACAAUCCUCGCUAGAUUUCUUCAACAUUCGUUGAGGGAGUCGCAAGUUAACACGUUAAGCGAGGCGCCUGGGGAGUACGGCCGCAAGGCUAAAACUCAAAGGAAUUGACGGGGACCCGCACAACCAGUGGAGCAUGUGGUUUAAUUCGAUACGAAGCGAAAAACCUUACCUGGGCUUGAAAUCCAAGCGUUCUAUUUCCGGGAAACCGGAGAAAUCCGUAAGGAGGCUUGGACAGCUGCUGCAUGGCUAUUUUUGACGAUGGCCCUUCGAGAGGUAACUUUCGAAGCAAAACCGGCUCAUAACGGUGAAACCCUCAUUGAUUUCGGGUAAUCUUCGGAUUACAAUGAAACAAAAGGAUAAUACCGUGGGAAGCAAAGUCUAUUUAAAAUCAGCCGAAGACUUUUAUAUUUUAGGUCUUUGGUUGGCAGAUGGGUAUUGGUGGUCAAGUUCCUUCGGUCUUUCGUCUACUGAUAAAAAGCUAAUUAAUAGAUUCGGUUGCUAUCUGAAGAAGAUUGCUCCGGAUCAUCCCUUAAAAAGAAGGAUUUACAAAAUUGGCAAAAAUCAGAAACGAAAGAAAGAAGCAGAGCAUCUUUAUAUCAACAACAGGGCAAUCACUAGAUUUUUUCUACUUUAUAAAAAGAAGAAAAAUUUUUCUGUUCCAUCACGUUUCCUUCUAGCUUAUUUAGCAGGGAGGAUUGACGGAGAUGGAAGUAUUGAUCGAAAAUAUCGGUCAGGAAUUAGGAUUGCCUAUGGUGACAAAAAAGAUGCUGAACAUGAUGUUUUACUUUUCGGUAAGCAAAAUGUUAGCUUAUAUUUUUAUAAGUCUGCUGGAACUUGGGUGAUUUAUUUAAGAAAGAAAUUUCGCGAAAAAAUCAUCAGUAAAAUUGCCAAAUAUUCAAUAAAACUUUGCCCCGUAGAGACUUUUUCCAAAUAGGAAAGGAUAGAAGUAAAUGAACUUCUAUAAAACGCCGGUCUCCCAUAAAAAUGGGAUGAUGGUAUAGUCCGAUCCUCUAAGAGAUUAGAGUAAUUAUAAAAACUUUAACGGCACAAAAGAGGUCGUCAGCUCGUGCCGUGAGGUGUAUUCUUAAGUGAAACAACGAGCGCAACCCCUAUUUUAUGUUAAAUAUUCAUAAAAGACUGCCUGUUUUUUAAACAGGAGGAAGGAAGGGAUGACGUCAAGUCAGCACGGCGCUUAUGUCCAGGGCAACACACAUCCUACAAUGGCGAAAAACAAUGGGCAGCCAAGCCGUAAGGUGGAGCUAAUCCCUGAAAUUUCGCCUCAGUUCAGAUUGUGGGCUGAAAUUCGCCCACAUGAAGUUGGAAUUGGUAGUAAUCGCGGAUCAGCAGGCCGCGGUGAAUACGUU
rnacentral:rRNA from 1 species